CCUACGGGUGGCAGCAGUGGGGAAUAUUGCACAAUGGGGGGAACCCUGAUGCAGCGACGCCGCGUGAGUGAAGAAGUAUUUCGGUAUGUAAAGCUCUAUCAGCAGGGAAGAAAGUUACGUUACCUGACUAACAAGCCCCGGCUAACUACGUGCCAGCAGCCGCGGUAAUACUUAGGGGGCAAGCGUUCUCCGGAUUUACUGGUGGUAAAGGGAGUGUAGAUGGCAGGGCAAGUCUCAAGUGAAAGCCCGCGGCCCAACUGCGGGACUGCUUUGGAAACUGCCCGGCUAGAGUGCUGGAGAGGUAAGCGGAAUUCCUAGUGUAGCGGUGAAAUGCGUAGAUAUUAGGAGGAACACCAGUGGCGAAGGCGGCUUACUGGACAGUAACUGACGUUGAGGCGCGAAAGCGUGGGGAGCAAACAGGAUUAGAUACCCGGGUAGUC
rnacentral:rRNA from 1 species